rnacentral:rRNA from 1 species
AUUGAACGCUGGCGGCAUGCCUAACACAUGCAAGUCGAGCGGAGCGGCGGACGGGUGAGUAAUGCCUAGGAAUCUGCCUGUUAGUGGGGGAUAACGUCCGGAAACGGGAGCCAAUACCGCAUACUAUCAGAUGAGCCUAGGUCGGAUUAGCUAGUUGGUGGGGUAAAGGGCUACCAAGGCGACGAUCCGUAACUGGUCUGAGAGGAGGAUCAGUCAACACGGAAAUGGAAAAAGGUCCAAACUCCUACGGGAGGGCGCCGGGGGGAAUAUUGGGCAAUGGGAGGAAGCCUUGUCCAGCCAUGCCGCGUGUGUGAAGAAGGGUUUUGGAUUGUAAAGCACUUUUAGUUGGGAGGCGUUACUAAAAGAAUAAGCCCCGGCUAACCUCGGGCCAGCCGCCGCGGUAAUAC